CAGCAGCAGCCGCGGGAAUACAGAGGGUGCAAGCGUUAAUCGGAAUUACUGGGCGUAAAGCGCGCGUAGGUGGUUUGUUAAGUCGGAUGUGAAAUCCCCGGGCUCAACCUGGGAACUGCAUCCGAAACUGGCAAGCUAGAGUAUGGUAGAGGGUAGUGGAAUUUCCUGUGUAGCGGUGAAAUGCGUAGAUAUAGGAAGGAACACCAGUGGCGAAGGCGACUACCUGGACUGAUACUGACACUGAGGUGCGAAAGCGUGGGGAGCAAACAGGAUUAGAGACCCCCGUAGUCCCUGUCUCUUAUAC
rnacentral:rRNA from 1 species